rnacentral:rRNA from 1 species
CGUAGGGUGCGAGCGUUAUCCGGAAUUAUUGGGCGUAAAGAGCUCGUAGGCGGUUUGUCGCGUCUGUCGUGAAAAGUCCCGGGGCUUAACCCCGGACUCUGCGGGUGGGGUACGGGCAGACUAGAGUGCAGUAGGGGAGACUGGAUUCCUGGUGUAGCGGUGGAAUGCGCAGAUAUCAGGAGGAACACCGAUGGCGAAGGCAGGUCUCUGGGCUGUAACUGACGCUGAGGAGCGAAAGCAUGGGGGGAGCGACAGGAUU